UACAGAGGGUGCGAGCGUUAAUCGGAAUUACUGGGCGUAAAGCGUGCGUAGACGGUUAUCUAAGUCGGAUGUGAAAGCCCCGGGCUCAACCUGGGAAUUGCAUUCGAGACUGAAUAGCUAGGGUGCGGUAGAGGGAAGCGGAAUUUCCGGUGUAGCGGUGAAAUGCGUAGAUAUCGGAAGGAACAUCAGUGGCGAAAGCGGCUUCCUGGACCAGCACCGACGUUCAGGCACGAAAGCGUGGGGAGCAACCAGG
rnacentral:rRNA from 1 species